UACGUAGGGUGCGAGCGUUGUCCGGAAUUAUUGGGCGUAAAGAGCUCGUAGGCGGUUCGUCGCGUCGGCUGUGAAAUCCCGAGGCUCAACCUCGGGUCUGCAGUCGAUACGGGCGGACUGGAGUACUGCAGGGGAGACUGGAAUUCCUGGUGUAGCGGUGAAAUGCGCAGAUAUCGGGAAGAACACCCGUGGCGAAGGCGGCUCUCUGGGACGGUACUGACGCUGAGACGCGAAAGCGUGGGGAGCGAACAGG
rnacentral:rRNA from 1 species